ACAAGGCUGAGCAGACACAAAGUGUGAUCUAGAGCUUCAAUAUGUGGGAAGACAAAUCACUCAAAAUGCAUCGGGAAUUCCAGAAGCAUAAACUGCUGCCCCGGUGCCAUCUCCUACCCCCAGCAAGUGACUGAAACCUCUGACAGCAAUGAGCCAUCUUAGACACUUACCUCCCAUAAUAAGAUCUGUUCUCCUGUUUACCCUUCCCGCUUGACAACAUAAGAUCGAUGACACAGACAAGCUUAUGACUUGAUAGAUGGAUGGCUCAAUCAGCACCCAGUUCACAAUUUACUUGACAAAUUUUACAGUCAUUUUGUGGGGAGCGGGUGUGGCGGUAGUCC